GAACGCAGCGAAAUGCGAUACGUAGUGUGAAUUGCAGAAUUCCGCGAAUCAUCGAGUCUUUGAACGCAAGUUGCGCCCGAGGCUUGUCCGAGGGCAUUUCGCUAGAGCGUCACC
rnacentral:rRNA from 1 species